AGCAACAGUAAAUAGAACCUAUGAGCAGUACUGAGGGACAGUGUGACAUUAGUUUCAGCUUAUUCUCUUGGAUCACUGACUGUGGAAACCAGCCUCCACAUCAUAGGACAAUCAAGUAGCCCCAGUACAGGGAUACAGGAAGAACAGAAGUUUCCUGCCAGCAACAGUCAGCCUCUCCUUGCCACCAGUCAGCAAUUGGAAGAUAAAGAUACAAUCAAUCUCAUUUUUAGUCCAAAGUCCUGACACAGUUCUUUUGAAAACAGCAAUUUCAGGACCAUGAAUACAGGAUCAUCAUAAGCACUUAGUAUUUCUCAAAGGAUGAUCACAAAACUUCAUCAAAAUCUACUGAACUGCUCAUCCAACACAAGUAUAUGCUGGACGAAUGAAUGGAGGAUAUUGAGACCCAGGACUGGGUGUGAACCUGGCUUCCACACUGAGCACACUUUUCUGAACUGGUUGAUUCAGGAAUAGACAGCAAGUUUAGCAGCAUUAGAAAAAGAUCAGCUUCCAAGACACCAUGAUUACCAACCG